GCCAGGCUUGGUGGUGCAUGCCUGUAGUCCCAGCUACUCAGGAGGCUGAGGCACGAGAAUUGCUUGAGCCUGGGAGGCAUAGGUUGCAGUGAGCCGAGAUCACGCCACUGCACUCCAGCCCAGGUAACAGAGCGAGACCCUGUCUCAA
rnacentral:SRP_RNA from 1 species